UACAGAGGGGCAAGCGUUGUUCGGAAUUACUGGGCGAAAGGGCGCGUAGGCGGCCUUCUAAGUCGAACGUGAAAUCCCCGGGCUCAACCCGGGAACUGCGUCCGAGACUGGAAGGCUCGAAUCCGGGAGAGGGAUGUGGAAUUCCAGGUGUAGCGGUGAAAUGCGUAGAUAUCUGGAGGAACAUCGGUGGCGAAGGCGGCAUCCUGGACCGG
rnacentral:rRNA from 1 species